rnacentral:rRNA from 1 species
GAUGAACGCUGGCGGCGUGCUUAACACAUGCAAGUCGAACGGUGAAACCUAGGAGAGUUGUUCGGAGAGAAACUAAGCGGGAUAGUGGCGAACGGGUGAGUAACGAGUGGGUAGAAUGCAUUACUCAAGGGGGUAGUGCUUGGAGACGAAGAAUAAUACCCCAUAAAAACAGCAAGGGACAUGUUAGAUAGUUGAAGGUGUAAGCGGUGUAAGAUGGACUUACGUCUGAUUGGUUUGUUGGUGAGAUAAAAGCUCACGAAGCCAACUAACAGUAGCCGGCUGGAGAGAGUGUACGGCCACAUUGAGACUGGGACCCGGCCCAGACUCCUACGGGAGGCAGCAGAGGGGAAUUUUGCACAAUGGGGGAAACCCUGAUGCGGCGACGCCGGGUGAUUUAGAAGGCCUUCGGGUUGUAAAAAUCUUUUGUAUAGGAAGAAAAUGACGGUACUAGACGAAUAAGCUCCGGCUAAUUACGUG